rnacentral:rRNA from 1 species
UGAGUACGAGAUGCUACGGCAUCGAAGCAGUCUAUGUCAUACUUCCAAGAAAAGCUUGCACUGUCAUAAACAAAGAAUGCCUGUACCAUAACCGACACAGGUGGGUAGGUAGAGUAUACUAAGGGGCGCGAGAUAACUCUCUCUAAGGAACUCGGCAAAAUGACUCCGUAACUUCGGGAGAAGGAGUGCCUUAUUUCUAAGGUUGCAAUAACAAGAUCCAAGCAACUGUUUACCAAAAACACAGGUCUCCGCUAAGUCGUAAGACGAUGUAUGGGGGCUGACGCCUGCCCAGUGCCAGAAGGUUAAAGAAGUUGGUUAGCAUUAGCGAAGCUGAUAACUGAAGCCCUGGUGAACGGCGGCCGUAACUAUAACGGUCCUAAGGUAGCGAAAUUCCUUGUCGGGUAAGUUCCGACCCGCACGAAAGGCGUAAUGAUUUGGAUACUGUCUCGGAGAGGGGCUCGGUGAAAUAGACUUGUCUGUGAAGAUGCGGACUACCUGCACCUGGACAGAAAGACCCUAUGAAGCUUUACUGUAACUUGAGAUUGAAAUUGGACUUUAUUUGCGCAGUAUAGGUGGGAGGCGUUGAGAGUAAUCUUGCGGGAUUGUUGGAGCCAUCAGUGAGAUACCACUCUUGUAAUGUUAGAUUUCUAACUUUGUAUCAUUAUCUGGUCAAAGAACAGUUUCAGGCGGGCAGUUUGACUGGGGCGGUCGCCUCCCAGAGGGUAACGGAGGCGCACAAAGGUUUCCUCUGAACGGGUAGAAAUCGUAUCUAGAGUGUAAAGGCAUAAGGAAGCUUGACUGUGAGACCUACAAGUCGAGCAUGGACGAAAGUCGGUCUUAGUGAUCUGACGGUGCUGAGUAGAAAGGCCGUCACUCAACGGAUAAAAGUUACUCUAGGAUAACAGGCUGAUCUCCCCCAAGAGUUCACAUCGACGGGGAGGUUUGGCACCUCGAUGUCGGCUCAUCGCGUCCUGGGGCGGUAGUCCGUCCCAAGGGUUGGGCUGUUCGCCCAUGAAAGCGGUACGCGAGCUGGGUUCAGAACGUCGUGAGACAGUUCGGUCCAUAUCCGGUGUAGGCGUUAGAAUAUUGAGAGGAGCCUUCUCUAGUACGAGAGGACCGAGAAGGACAUACCUCUGGUGUACCAGUUAUCGUGCCAACGGUAAACGCUGGGUAGCUAUGUAUGGAGUGGAUAACCGCUGAAAGCAUCUAAGUGGGAAGCCCACCUCAAGAUAAGUAUUCUCAUC